UUCGACUUCUCGAGUGGAGCUUUGUCAGCAGACUGCAAUUCGGCUAUUUGUGUGAGCUUCUUGGCGAGCGCGUAUCUGUCCGUUGCCUCGUACUGCAGUAUCAAUGCCUGCAGAUCAACGAUCUGCAUCUUCAGGCCAGCUUGUGCCACAUGACCAGCCUGCAGCACCUGUGUCUUCUGACGUCGAUGCAGGUCUCGGACGGCGAUGCAGCGAAAUGUGUCUCUGACUGCGUCGCCCGCGCAGCUCAGCUAAAGUGCGUGCACAUACACUACAAACGCGACACCGACGGCUUGGAGCAACGAG
rnacentral:lncRNA from 1 species